rnacentral:rRNA from 1 species
UACGUAGGGCGCAAGCGUUAUCCGGAAUUAUUGGGCGUAAAGAGCUCGUAGGCGGUUUGUCGCGUCUGCCGUGAAAGUCCGGGGCUCAACUCCGGAUCUGCGGUGGGUACGGGCAGACUAGAGUGAUGUAGGGGAGACUGGAAUUCCUGGUGUAGCGGUGAAAUGCGCAGAUAUCAGGAGGAACACCGAUGGCGAAGGCGGCAUCCUGGACCAUGACUGACGCUGAGGAGCGAAAGCCAGGGGAGCAAACGGA